rnacentral:misc_RNA from 1 species
AACUUUCAGCAAUGGAUCACUUGGUUCCCGCAUCGAUGAAGAACGCAGCGAAAUGCGAUAAGUAGUGUGAAUUGCAGAAUUCAGUGAAUCAUCGAAUCUUUGAACGCACAUUGCGCCCUCUGGUAUUCCGGAGGGCAUGCCUGUCCGAGCGUCGUCAAACCCCCUCGAGCGGCCUUUGCUGCUCGGUCUUGGUCGAGGAUCGUCCCUUCGCGGGCGUUCCCGGCUGAAAGGGAUCUGGCGGAGAGCCUGGUCUCCACGGAUGUAGUAAGCUUAUGCCUAUCUUCCGGUGGUGUGGCCAGUUAUCCAGCCGUCAACCUCACUUCUUCUGGUUGACCUCGGAUCAGGUAGGGAUACCCGCUGAACUUAAGCAUAUCAAUAAGCGGAGGCU